ensembl:ncRNA lncRNA:CR43252 long non-coding RNA:CR43252
GAGCAACGUGAAGCACAAAAAAUGACACAGGAACUUUGGGGAUUUCCAGCCCACAACACACACAAACAUUCUGUGGCGUUGGGUGGAAAAGUUUAAUAAAGCGCAGCAAAUGCGAAGAGGAAAUUUCGCUUUUAUUUCGGCAGAACCACCCCCUUUCUCCGCGCGGAUGCCCCCGCCCCUGGCUUUGUGGCCAGCUGAGGAGCGCAAAAUAAUGGCAACAGCUCGCCAAAGGUCCUUGGGGGCCCAGAACUCGGAGAUGGGUCAGUUUUGGACAUGGGAGAGGCAUUCGGGGCCUUGUGGCUCAAUCGCAGCUCUGUUUUCGGAUUCCAUUUUUUCUUCAUCUUCCGUUCUGCUCGGGGCCGCUGCUGUUUUUGUAUUUUGGGAUUUGGCCAACCUUUUGACAAAUUACGAAUAUUAUUCAUGCAGCAAUGAAGUGAGGAAGCUCUUGUCGUCCCUCGCCCACCUUUUGGGCCUCCUGCGGUCGCAAUUCGGCGUUUGGAUUCCUUUUAAAAUGUAUCUGACGGCAGAAUUGGAAUGCAGGAACAUCCUAACUAGUUAGGAAUUAUUAAUUGAGGUUACGCACAGGACUUGGAGAAAGGAAGGCAGCCUCUCAAAGUGUUGAAGCUGACUGUGGAGUUCCAUUUCUUCAUUUGAUUUCGCCAAAGUUGUGAUUACCCAGGCCCACUAGCCUAAUUCUUAUUGAAAAACGGCUUUCUCUUCAGUUUCCGCCCCAAUAUCCUGUGCUCCUGCUCCUCUCCCUCUGCCGCAGUCGACGUCGACGGCGUCAAUGUCAGCCACAUGUUUCUGUUUCAAUGGCUGCCGGCCAGCGGCCAUUAGAGAAAGCGGGAUGGUAUGAUAUGAGCCUGACUGAAUGCCUGCUCUCUCUCGCGUUUCUCGCAUAGCGUGUUUUAGUCAGCUGUCAAAUAUUUUGACAUGGGUAGCCAUGGCCACAUUGAGCAUCCAAAAUGGGGAAUGGAGGACAUACACUGAAAAAAGUCUAUCUUUUGUAUUCAUGAAUAGUCGAAUAGUCGCACUUACUAGAUUUAUAGAUGUAAAUAAAUAAGAAACGCUGAAUUACACAAU